GGAGUAGUGGCUCAGUGGUAGAGCGCUUGCCUGGCAUGUAUGAGACUCUGGGUUUGAUCCUCAGUACCACA
rnacentral:tRNA from 1 species